AUUACAUACAGCAGGUGGGUUAAGGAUGGGAGAUGGAUGGGGAACAUUACAUACAGCAGGUGGGUUAAGGAUGGGAGAUGGAUGGGGAACAUUACAUACAGCAGGUGGGUUAAGGAUGGGAGAUGGAUGGGGAACAUUACAUACAGCAGGUGGGUUAAGGAUGGGAGAUGGAUGGGGAACAUUACAUACAGCAGGUGGGUUAAGGAUGGGAG